GUGCUGCAGGGAGGACGGCCUGUUCUUCCCCUGCGAGGAUAUGGAUGUAAUUUGGAACCACCCAAGACUGGUCUGAUGUGUUUUUGACCUUUGUCUGAACAACCAAGAUCAUUGUAGUAAUCAUAAUCAUAGAUUCGAUCCCAUUCCUUCCUCUCUCCAGUUCCAUCUCCUCUCAGGCUUUGUUUGAGAAGAACAAGCGGUCUGAUUUUGUCUUCUGGACUGGGUAUACCCAAGACCUGCAGUCAAAGUGGAUGAUCUGGUUCUCAAGAAAUUCAAGAGUUGCAGAUUCAAGGAAGAAUUCAUGCUUAUGUUGGUUUGAUAUGAGAAAUGCUCCUGGAAUUCCAAACCCUUGCUCAACAUGAAGCUUUAUUUUGUAAGCAGUUGUUUUUGUGCCCUCAUAUUUCUUUCUCUUUCCAUGCUUGAGGUAUGCUUUCUCACUCAACUUCCCUUUGCCCGUGCCUAUCAGGGCAAUGCAAGUUAUAAGAUCAGCAAUACUUUGAUAUUAUUGGUAUUUAGUGGAAAUUUACAAUUCUUCCACAGAUACUCGUCAAGUUACUCUGCUCAAUAAGUUACACAAAAAUAAAAUAAAAUAAAAUAAGUCAUGUCAAUUUGAGCAGACUAACAAUGUUGUGUUAUUAUUUAUAUCACAAGAAGCUUAUGGUUCCUUGAUGUUGCUAUUAUUUUGAACUUACUCGGAUCAAUUACUGUACUGCUAUAAAUCCGUAUGGAUGCUGAUUUUCCAGGAGCUGAAUGACCUUGACUUUGAAGAAUAACUAAUUUUCCCUUGAUAAUGUAUUUCUUAGUGGAAUUAUUAGUUUGCUGAAUGUGGUGACUUGUCAUCUUGCUUUGGAGGACUCUCAUGCAUCCUUCUAGGCUAGAGCAUGGCCCACGGGUUUCCAUGUUCCUUUUUUCUCUGUUCUUUUCUUUGUUAUUUCAAUCUUUUCUCCCAGAAAAUCUCUCUUAUUUGAGUUAUGGGGAAUUUGGUUGUGGAAUUGAUAAAUUGACGAGUUCAAGUAAAUGUGUCUGCCUUGAGUUAUUAACUUUUUCUCAUUGGUUGUCUUGGGAAUUUUGGCAUGGCAAGAUUGCUACAAUGUGGACGUGACAUAGUCGACAUGAAAAGGUACGUUCUUAGCUUAUGGGUGUCGACAAUGCAUCUGAUCCGUUGCUUGCCUCUAUGGUUUACUUAGUAUAGGUGAUUUAAGAAAUGUAACAUUAUAGUAUUGGGUUAAAAAUAAAAGUUUAGAGUUUAUCUUA